CCCACUGCUGGCUCCGAGGUAUCGAUUAGCGAUCAGAGUCCAUUCCCCACCCAGGGGCGGGAAACAGCCGCCUCCUCCAAUGGUCAUCUCGGGGCCGCACCUGGAACUUCCGCCACAGCCCCCUCCCGGGGCAUCCGCCCACCCCGGCUUUACCUACGAUUCCAGCGAGUAGCAGGCAGAACAAAAGCAAAAGCCGGUCGGACUUGCGAUUGCUUUUCUGAUAGACAGCAACCCAGGAGGAGGCUGGGGGAGCCGGCCCGGGACCCAGGACGUCAAACCCGAGCCGCUGCCCUCUCCAGCAGGCUGGGGCUCUGGGUCGCCGGGCGGGGAAAGCGGCGGGGUCCCCCCACUCCCCUUCUCCCAGGGGCUACCGACCGGGAGUGUGGGCGCCUCGGUCGGGUGGCGAAGGAAGAGGGCUCUGUAUCAACCCUUGAACAAGGAAGGGAGAGGCUGGAAGGGAGGAUAAUCGGGGACUGGGGCAGACCCCGCAACCGCGAUCCAAAUCUGAACUCGCAGUGUGAACCGCCCCUCGGCGACCCCAAGCGCUCGGGACUGUCCCCGGGGGUGGGGUCCCCUCGCGGGGCCCGGCCCCUGCGUCCUCCUCCUCUAAACACACCGCAGGGAGCCCAGCUGCAACCUCCCAUCCCAAACGGGUCGGGGACAGCACUGGCGCGCGGUCCGCGGGCGAGGAGGUCACCCAGGGCAGCCGGGCGGGUCCCGCGGGAGACCCCCGCCGCUCGGACACUCGCUAGUUUGGCAGUGGCUUGGCCUGGGGGGCUUACUGUUAGGGUGAGGUGGGGAGGCAGACAGUGCGAGGAAGUCUCAUCUCUUCUCCGCUUCUCCGGAGCCCGCCGAACUCCAAGAGGCGCAGGCGGCGGGAGGAGAAAGCCAGCGGAGGGGGAGCCACUUACCGAGGCAGAGCCCGAGAGCGCGACGGCCCGGGCACGAGCCGCCCUUUGUCUGCGGCUGCGUCGCCGGCGCGCUCGGCCAGGCCGGUCCCAGCCCUGGCGCGCGGUGAGCUCCCGCGGGCGCCCCGACAGCCCGGCUCGCUGCUCCCGCUCGGGCUCGGGCUCCGGCCCCGGCCCCCGCCUGGGCUGCCGCUGCCGCGGCUCCGCCCCGAGCCGGGCCCCGCCCCCACCCGCUGGGCCCCCACCUGCUGCGGCGGUGGCGCUGGGGAGCCGGGCCCUGGGCGCCGGGGGGCGGCCGCCUCGCGCGCGCCCCGCUCUGCCCUCCCGAAGCCUCCAGGCCGCUCGGCCGCGCGGUCCCGGGGCCUUCCCGGACCCAGCCCCGCGGAGACGAGCUCACCUGGGGAGCCGAGCCCCGUCCGGGGGUAGCCUGGCCUUCCCGAGGCACACGCGGUAG
rnacentral:lncRNA from 1 species